CAUUAUUGAAUACGCUUGGGACUGAUGCUGGCUCUUNNNNNNNAUGUGCUCGUCUCAUUCUUAUUUAUCUUCUCUUGUGCACAUCUUGUAGUCUUGAAUGAACCCCUCGCAGUCAAAUGCGGUUCUGGGAGGCUGAGCUUAACACGCUCUUCUCCUGCUCGUUCAAGGCUAUGUUUUCAUAUACACUAUAAAGUUACAGAAUGUCUUUUAACGAUUGUGCUAGUCGCAGUCAUAUUAAACCUUAUACAACUUUCAGCAACGGAUCUCUUGGCUCUCCUAUCGAUGAAGAACGCAGCGAAAUGCGAUAAGUAAUGUGAAUUGCAGAAUUCAGUGAAUCAUCGAAUCUUUGAACGCACCUUGCGCCCUUCGGUAUUCCGAAGGGCAUGCCUGUUUGAGUGUCAUUAAAUUAUCAACCUUUGCUCUUUGCGAGUGGAAGGCUUGGAUGUGAGGGUUUUGCUGGCUUCCUUCAGUGGAUGGUCUGCUCCCUUUAAAUGCAUUAGUGGGAUCCUUUGUGGACCGUCACUAGGUGUGAUAAUUAUCUAUGCCUUUUGGCUUUGAAGCAAACUUAUGGGAAUCCGCUCAUUAACCGUCUUCGGACAAC
rnacentral:rRNA from 1 species